rnacentral:rRNA from 1 species
CAUCCUACGGGAGGCAGCAGUGAGGAAUAUUGGUCAAUGGACGGAAGUCUGAACCAGCCAUGCCGCGUGCAGGAAGACGGCUCUAUGAGUUGUAAACUGCUUUUGUACAAGGGCAAACCUGAAUACGUGUAUCCAGCUGAAAGUACUGUACGAAUAAGGAUCGGCUAACUCCGUGCCAGCAGCCGCGGUAAUACGGAGGAUCCAAGCGUUAUCCGGAUUUAUUGGGUUUAAAGGGUGCGUAGGCGGAUUGAUAAGUUAGAGGUGAAAUGUCC